UACGUAGGCAGCGAGCGUUGUUCGGAGUUACUGGGCGUAAAGAGUGCGUAGGCGGUUUUCUAAGUUUGGUGUGAAAUCUCCCGGCUUAACUGGGAGGGUGCGCCGAAAACUGGAAGGCUUGAGUAUGGGAGAGGUAAGCGGAAUUCCUGGUGUAGCGGUGAAAUGCGUAGAUAUCAGGAGGAACACCUGCGGUCGUAGACGGCUUACUGGACCAUAACUGGCGCUGAGGCACGAAAGCGUGGGUAGCAAACAGG
rnacentral:rRNA from 1 species